GCGACGAUGCCAUUUUUUAGCGUGCUCGGCCAUCUUGGAAACAGUGUCACCCCCUGCUACGAAUAGGGCUUGCUCUCCUCUCUCUUCUUCUGGAGGCCUCCGCCGCCGCCGCCGCCUCCUCCUCCUCCUGCUUCUCCUCCGUCGCCGUAUUAUACUAAAUUUACCAGCUGCCCAGUUGAAGAAAUGUAGUUGUGCUGUCUGUAAUGCUCCAAGAUCGCUUGAUUUGUUGCAGUUGUUAACGGAAGGAUAGUAUUUUUUAGUUUUAUUUUUUUCGGCAAAGGAGGUUGGCAAGCUGAUUUAUCCUUUACUAUUUGGGGAUGUCGAAUACAAAAUGUAAAAUCUAUUUUAGGGCAAAGGAGAAUAUUUUUCUUCUUAUUUUUUCUCCUCUUUUCGUAGCAUCAAUCAUGACAGAGAGACAAAAAACAGCUUGAUGAUGCGAACCUCAUGUAUCCCAUUGUUCGUGUGAAUAUGAACAUACGUUCCUCUAACUACUUUUUUUUUUCUCUUUAAAUAAUAUUUGUGAGUACUUUGCAAGGUA